rnacentral:tRNA from 1 species
GUCCCAGUGGCGCAAUCGGUUAGCGCGCGGUACUUAUAAUGCCGAGGUUGUGACUUCGAGCCUCACCUGGGACA